rnacentral:rRNA from 1 species
GACGAACGCUGGCGGCAGGCCUAACACAUGCAAGUCGAGCGCCCUUUCGGGGGAGCGGCGGUCGGGUGAGUAACGCGUGGGAAUAUGCCCUUCUCUACGGAAUAGCCUCGGGAAACUGAGAGUAAUACCGUAUACGCCCUGUGGUGGAAAGAUUUAUCGGGGAAGGAUUAGCCCGCGUUGGAUUAGGUAGUUGGUGGGGUAAUGGCCUACCAAGCCGACGAUCCAUAGCUGGUUUGAGAGGAUGAUCAGCCACACUGGGACUGAGACACGGCCCAGACUCCUACGGGAGGCAGCAGUGGGGAAUCUUAGACAAUGGGGGCAACCCUGAUCUAGCCAUGCCGCGUGAGUGAUGAAGGCCUUAGGGUUGUAAAGCUCUUUCAGCUGGGAAGAUAAUGACGGUACCAGCAGAAGAAGCCCCGGCUAACUCCGUG